CAAAAUAUUUUGUAUUGUAUUUAAUAAUUAAUUCUCAUUCACACUGCCACUGUCCUCAGUGGCGUAACUACUAUGGGCUCGGACUGGCAUGGGAGAAUCCGGGGGCCACCAACCCCAAUGGGCCUGCAAAUGGGGGGCCCCAGGCUCAGGCUAUAGAGCAAAAACAUUGGCCAAGGGCCUCUGAUAUGUUACAAUGGCGUUUUCUGACCAUCAGAAUUCUGUAAAAUCUCUCCCCAAAGUCCGGGAAAUGGUAUUUCAGAGAAUUUAGAUUCAAAAAUUUUCCGGGUGAGCAUGCUCUGGACCCCUAGAAAACUUGUCCAUAUAUGGUGCUUAAAGAUAUAAUUUUGCAGUGUGUAUUAAAGGGAUAUUUUUUGUCAGGAGAACAGUUUCGUUAACAUUUG
rnacentral:lncRNA from 1 species